rnacentral:rRNA from 1 species
UACGUAGGGUCCGAGCGUUGUCCGGAAUUACUGGGCGUAAAGAGCUCGUAGGUGGUUUGUCGCGUUGUUCGUGAAAACUCACAGCUUAACUGUGGGCGUGCGGGCGAUACGGGCAGACUUGAGUACUGCAGGGGAGACUGGAAUUCCUGGUGUAGCGGUGGAAUGCGCAGAUAUCAGGAGGAACACCGGUGGCGAAGGCGGGUCUCUGGGCCGAUACUGACGC